rnacentral:rRNA from 1 species
AUACGUAGGGUGCGAGCGUUGUCCGGAAUUACUGGGCGUAAAGAGCUCGUAGGUGGUUUGUCGCGUCGUCUGUGAAAUUCCGGGGCUUAACUCCGGGCGUGCAGGCGAUACGGGCAUAACUUGAGUACUGUAGGGGAGACUGGAAUUCCUGGUGUAGGGGUGAAAUGCGCAGAUAUCAGGAGGAACACCGGUGGUGAAGGCGGGUCUCUGGGCAGUAACUGACGCUGAGGAGCGAAAGCAUGGGUAGCGAACAGGAUUAGAUACCCUGGUAGUCCAUGCCGUAAACGGUGGGCGCUAGGUGUAGGGGUCUUCCACGACUUCUGUGCCGUAGCUAACGCAUUAAGCGCCCCGCCUGGGGAGUACGGCCGCAAGGCUAAAACUCAAAUGAAUUGACGGGG